rnacentral:tRNA from 1 species
AAACCCAUCGUUCAAUGGUAGGACGUACUGCUCAUAACGGUCAAAAUGUUGGUUCAAAUCCAGCUGGGCUAA